ensembl:rRNA 5S_rRNA 5S ribosomal RNA
GUCUACAGUUAUACCACCCUGAACACAUCAGAUCUUGUCUGAUCUCGGAAGCUAAGCACGGUUGGGCCUGGUUAGUAUUUGCAUGGAAGACUAUCACAUAGGACAUUAUCUGCC